GUGCUUUUGCCCUCUGCAGUGCAAACUUGCUGGAGCUGAGGCUUACGGUGGAGGGUCUGCUAUCUUCCUGGUGGUGUUCCCCUUCUGGUGUGCUACUUGCAUCACGGUGUUUCAGACUUGACCUGGCGUGUGUGUGUGUGUGUGUGUGUGUGUGU